UGGAGGUGUGGCAGAGUGGUUUAAUGCACCGGUCUUGAAAACCGGCAGUCGCUCCGGCGACUCAUAGGUUCAAAUCCUAUCGCCUCCGCCAG
rnacentral:tRNA from 1 species